rnacentral:rRNA from 1 species
ACUCAAAUGAAUAGACGGGGGCCCGCACAAGCAGUGGAUUAUGUGGUUUAAUUCGAAGCAACGCGAAGAACCUUACCAGGUCUUGACAUACCACGAGUAGCAUAGAGAUAUGUGAUGCCCUUCGGGGCGUGGAUACAGGUGGUGCAUGGUUGUCGUCAGCUCGUGUCGUGAGAUGUUGGGUUAAGUCCCGCAACGAGCGCAACCCUUACUAUUAGUUGCUACGCAAGAGCACUCUAAUGGGACUGCCGUUGACAAAACGGAGGAAGGUGGGGAUGAUGUCAAAUCAUCAUGCCCUUUAUGACCUGGGCUACACACGUAAUACAAUGGCGCUAUAACAGCGGGAAGCGACCAAGCGAUUGGAAGCGAAUCUCGAAAAAGCGUCUCAGUUCGGAUUGCAGGCUGCAACUCGCCUGCAUGAAGUCGGAAUUGCUAGUAAUCGCGGAUCAUCACGCCGCGGUGAAUACGUUCCCGGGCCUUGUACACACCGCCCGU